rnacentral:rRNA from 1 species
UGCCAGCAGCCGCGGUAAUACAGAGGGUGCAAGCGUUAAUCGGAAUUACUGGGCGUAAAGGGUGCGUAGGUGGUUACUUAAGUUAGGUGUGAAAGCCCCGGGCUCAACCUGGGAAUUGCGCUUGAUACUGGGUGGCUAGAGUACUGUAGAGGAAGGUAGAAUUUCCAGUGUAGCGGUGAAAUGCGUAGAUAUUGGAAGGAAUACCGGUGGCGAAGGCGGCCUUCUGGACAGAUACUGACACUGAGGCACGAAAGCGUGGGGAGCAAACAGGAUUAGAUA